CUCUGACAGGGAGCUAAGCAGUGCUCCCAUGCUCUGCGCCUGCUCCUAAGGGUCUCGACUGAAAUCGAGAGAGGGAAAACCUUCAAGUAUAAUGUUCCUUCAGCUUAAAACCUCAUCUGUAAAGGCAUCCAACCAGACGGCAGAGUUCAAAGCAACACAGUGACAUCUGAGGGGACAGAUCUUCUGGCUAUUUAAGCAACAGCAUAUGAGCAAGCAUCAUCACAAAGUGACGCAGAAUUUCUGUUUACAUCAGACAAGAUGUCAGUAUGUGAACUGUACCAUCCUGCUUUCCUGGACGAGUGGCUGUCACAUGACUGGAAACUUGAUCAAAUGUGAAUCUGAUUGCUGUCUGAAGACUUUUCUUAUCUGUCCCGAGCACAGCGGGACAGCUGCCAAUCUGAUCCCAGACAUACUGAAAGAACACUGCAAAAUGGCAGGAAAUUCCACUUUGAACAACUCCCAACAACAGCAACAGCACAGAAGAUGCAUUUAAAACCAGGCCAUGAGCCUGUUACAUAAGGGUACAGAGUGAGACUUCAACAAAAGGUGUAUAUUUCUCACGGGGACAAGAAAAAGAGAGCAUGUUGUGGUUAAAAUAGAAAUGCCAACAUAAUUAUAUAUAUAAUAGGCCUAUAUAUGUGUGUGUGUGUGUGUGUGUGUGUGUGUGUGUGUGUGUGUGUGUGUGUGUGUGUGUGUGUGUGUGUGUGUGUG
ensembl:lncRNA